CCUGUUGGGGAUGCUCUAGAGAAGGGUUUCCCAUACUUGGGUCUCCAGCUGUUGUUGGACUACAACUCCCAUCAUCCCUAGCUGGUGGGACCAGUGGUCAGGGAUUAUGGGAACUAUAGUCCAAAACCAGCUGCAGACCCAAGUUUGGAAAACCCUGCUUACAGAUUCAGAUUACCUCCAAGGGG